rnacentral:rRNA from 1 species
AACGAACGCUGGCGGCAUGCCUAACACAUGCAAGUCGAACGAGACCUUCGGGUCUAGUGGCGCACGGGUGCGUAACGCGUGGGAACCUGCCCUUAGGUUCGGAAUAACUCCCCGAAAGGGGUGCUAAUACCGGAUAAUGUCUUCGGACCAAAGAUUUAUCGCCUUUGGAUGGGCCCGCGUUGGAUUAGCUAGUUGGUAGGGUAAAAGCCUACCAAGGCGACGAUCCAUAGCUGGUAGGAGAGGAUGAUCAGCCACACUGGGACUGAGACACGGCCCAGACUCCUACGGAAGGCAGCAGUGGGGAAUAUUGGAAAGUGGGCGAAGGCCUGAUCCAGCAAUGCCGCGUGAGUGAUGAAGGCAUUAGGGUUGUAAAGCUCUUUUACCCGGGAUGAUAAUGACAGUACCGGGAGAAUAAGCUCCGGCUAACUCCGUG